rnacentral:rRNA from 1 species
UACCUGGUUGUCCUGCCAGUAGUCAUAUGCUUGUCUAAAAGAUUAAGCCAUGCAUGUCUAAGUAUAAACGUCUUUAUACGUGAAACUGCGAACGGCUCAUUAUAUCAGUUAUAGUUUACUUGAUCGUAUCUCCUACUUGGAUAACCGUAGUAACUCUAGAGCUAAUACAUGCAAAAAAUCCUGACUACGCUUGUCGUAGAAUAGGAUGAAUUUAUUAGAUUACCAACCAACGCGAGAUAAAAAGCCCUUCGUGGAAACAUGCAAGGGUCUCGGCAAAUGGAUGAUUCAUAAUAACUAAUCGAAUCGCAGAGGCUCACGCCGGCGAUGAUACAUACAAAUUUCUGCCCUAUCAACUGUCGAUGGUAGUAUAGAGGACUACCAUGGUGGUAACGGGUAACGGGGAAUUAGGGUUCGAUUCCGGAGAGGGGGCCUGAGAAAUGGCCACCACUUCCAAGGAAGGCAGCAGGCGCGCAAAUUACCCAAUCCUGAUUCGGGGAGGUAGUGACAAGAAAUACCGGUACAGUGCCCAAAGGGUACUGGGAUUGGAAUGAGUACAAUUUAAAAUCAUUAACGAUCAACAAUUGGAGGGCAAGUCUGGUGCCAGCAGCCGCGGUAAUUCCAGCUCCAAUAGUGUAUAUUAAAGUUGUUGCAGUUAAAAAGCUCGUAGUUGGAUUUCGGAAUGCUGUAGAUCAAGGUCCAUCGUUAUGAUGCUAGUACCGGAUCUACGCUUCCUUCUUUUCGAACACGUGCCGUUUGUCCUCCAGUUAGGACGAUCGGAAUAACACGUCUCGGAUCAUUUACUUUGAAAAAAUUAGAGUGUUCAAAGCAGGCGUAAUAUUGGCCUUGAAUACAUUAGCAUGGGAUAAUGGAAAAGGACUUUGGUCUUAUUUUCGUUGGUUUCUGAGGCUGAGGUAAUGAUUAAUAGGGACAGUUGGGGUCACCAGUAUUUAAUUGUCAGAGGUGAAAUUCUAAGAUUUAUUAAAGACUAACUACUGCGAAAGCAUUUGACAAGGAUGUUUUCAUUAAUCAAGAACGAAAGUUGGGGGAUCGAAGAUGAUCAGAUACCGUCGUAGUCUCAACCAUAAACUAUGCCGACCAAGGAUCCGAAGCCUGUUAAGCAUGGAUGACUCUUCGGGCACUUUGUGAGAAAUCAUAAGUAUUUGGGUUCCGGGGGGAGUAUGGUCGCAAGGCUGAAACUUAAAGGAAUUGACGGAAGGGCACCACAAGGAGUGGAACCUGCGGCUUAAUUUGACUCAACACGGGGAAACUUACCAGGUCCAGACACAGUGAGGAUUGACAGAUUGAUAGCUUUUUCUUGAUUCUGUGAGUGGUGGUGCAUGGCCGUUUUUAGUUGGUGGAGUGAUUUGUCUGGUUAAUUCCGUUAACGAACGAGACCUUAACCUAUUAAAUAGUUACAUGAACCCUGAUCCCUCCAAGUGGGGGGUCUUUUGUUCAUGGUCAUACUUCUUAGAGGGACUCUUCGCUAAGAGAGCGAUUGGGAAGUUUGAGGCAAAAACAGGUCUGUGAUGCCCUUAGAUGUUCUGGGCUGCACGCGCGUUACACUGAUACGUUCAACGAGUUUUGUUUUCCUUAUCCGAUGGGAUUGGGUAAUCUUUUGAAUGCGUAUCGUGCUGGGGAUAGAUCAUUGCAAUUAUUGGUCUUGAACGAGGAAUUCCUAGUAAGCGUGGUUCAUCAAACCGCGCUGAUUGCGUCCCUGCCCUUUGUACACACCGCCCGUCGCUCAUACCGAUGAAUGGUCCGGCGAGGAUUCAGGAUGGAGGUUGAUUUUGGGCCUCGUAAGAGGUACCCAUGCUUCUCUCCAGAAUCUAUUCAAACCUUGCCAUUUAGAGGAAUGAGAAGUCGUAACAAGGUUUCCGUAGUGAACCUGCAGAAGGAUCA